CAUAAACCCACCACCAGCAACUCUGCAUACAAUGAUUAACUGCUCUUGUUUGACAUCUACUUUUCAGAUGCAUCUGUAAGCAACUGUUAUGGGCCCUCUCCCAUUUUGCAUCCGGUCCUCUUGACAAUGGCACCCACAGUUACCCAGCAGACAGACCUGUGCUGAAAAAAAAAAAAAUUCUACCUCUCUCUUGUCCAGUUUUCCACCCUUUCAGCCCUUCUUUCUGGAAAAAGGGAGUAAAUUGAGCUUGGAGAUGAUUCCUGAACCAGUGGCUGCUCUGUGCUCUCCAUUUUUUGCUUCAGGAACAACAUUGGAGUUGUGGUGACAACAGUGGAAUAUCUAUCCUGAAAACACUCCUUGAUACUAGUUCUGAUACAAAGUUGUGUUAUCCGGGUUUACAGAAAUGGUAUUGAAUGCAUAAAUAGAUCCAUUAAGCUAAUAAUGAUCACUCACUA
ensembl:lncRNA